AUGCUUAACACAUAGCAAGUCGAACGAAGCGUUUGUAUGCUGCAUACAAACGACUGAGUGGCGGACGGGUGAGUAACACGUAAGAACCUACCUUUGGAGAGGGACAACCAACUGGAAACGGUGGCUAAUACCUCAUAUAACUGAGAAGUGAAAUGAUGAAUAAUCGCCAAGAGAUGGGCUUGCGGCUGAUUAGCUUGUUGGUGAGGUAAUGGCUUACCAAGGCAAUGAUCAGUAGCUGGUCUGAGAGGAUGAUCAGCCACACUGGGACUGAGACACGGCCCAGACUCCUACGGGAGGCAGCAGUGAGGAAUUUUCCGCAAUGGGCGAAAGCCUGACGGAGCAAUGCCGCGUGAAGGAUGAAGGCCUGUGGGUUGUAAACUUCUUUUCUCAGAGAAGAAUUCAUGACGGUAUCUGAGGAAUAAGCAUCGGCUAACUCUGUGCCAGCAGCAGC
rnacentral:rRNA from 1 species